CUACGGGGCGCUGCAGGCGCGAAACCUUUACAAUGCACGAAAGUGUGAUAAGGGGAUCCGAAGUGCCUAUACAUUGUAUAGGCUUUUGCCAAAGUUAAAUCCUUUGGCGAAUAAGGGGUGGGCAAGACUGGUGCCAGCCGCCGCGGUAACACCAGCGCCUCGAGUGGCAACCAUGUUUAUUGGGCCUAAAGCGUUCGUAGCCGGUUUAGUAAAUCUUCUGUGAAAUUGUACAGCUUAACUGUACAGCGUGCAGGAGACACUACUAGACUUGAGACCGGGAGGAGCUGAGAGUAUUCAUGGAGGAGCGGUAAAAUGUUGUGAUUCCUUGAAGACUACCUGUGGCGAAGGCGCUCAGCUAGAACGGAUCUGACGGUGAGGGACGAAAGCCAGGGGAGCGAUCCGGAUUAGAUACCCUCGUAGUC
rnacentral:rRNA from 1 species